rnacentral:rRNA from 1 species
ANCUUUUUCAAUUUCGCAUAAAGAUGGUAAGCUUUCCAUAAGCAGUUACCUGAAUCAUUUUACAUUUUAUCGCCCCAAUAAAAUAAAUUCAACUACCACGACUUUUAUUAAACCAAUUUAAUUAGAUAGCUUAAUUUAUAAAGCUUUAUAGGGUCUUAUCGNCCA